GUUCCGAAAGCUAUAAGCUGCCUAUUUUGUAAAUAGGAAGAAGUUAAUUUAUCCUAACUCAGAACU
rnacentral:tRNA from 1 species